GCAAUCGACCACAGGAUAGAGAGAACAGCGCUUCCCGUUUGCUCAGCGGUACUUAAGCUCUAUGCCGGCCAGUCAGUACUAAGGUGGGUGACCACUUGGGAAUCCUGGCUGUUGAUUGUU
rfam:Cladophialophora carrionii strain KSF Contig1655, whole genome shotgun sequence.